rnacentral:rRNA from 1 species
AGCGAACGCUGGCGGCAGGCUUAACACAUGCAAGUCGAGCGGGCAUAGCAAUAUGUCAGCGGCAGACGGGUGAGUAACGCGUGGGAACGUACCUUUUGGUUCGGAACAACACAGGGAAACUUGUGCUAAUACCGGAUAAGCCCUUAAGGGGAAAGAUUUAUCGCCGAAAGAUCGGCCCGCGUCUGAUUAGCUAGUUGGGGAGGUAAUGGCUCACCAAGGCGACGAUCAGUAGCUGGUCUGAGAGGACGAUCAGCCACAUUGGGACUGAGACACGGCCCAAACUCCUACGGGAGGCAGCAGUGGGGAAUAUUGGACAAUGGGCGCAAGCCUGAUCCAGCCAUGCCGCGUGAGUGAUGAAGGCCCUAGGGUUGUAAAGCUCUUUUGUGCGGGAAGAUAAUGACGGUACCGCAAGAAUAAGCCCCGGCUAACUUCGUGCCAGCCGCCGCAGUAA